rnacentral:rRNA from 2 species
UGGGGGAUAUUGCACAAUGGAGGAAACUCUGAUGCAGCAACGCCGCGUGAGGGAAGAAGGUCUUCGGAUUGUAAACCUUUGUCCUUGGUGACGAUAAUGACGGUAGCCAAGGAGGAAGCUCCGGCUAACUACGUGCCAGCAGCCGCGGUAAUACGUAGGGAGCGAGCGUUGUCCGGAUUUACUGGGUGUAAAGGGUGCGUAGGCGGCUCUGCAAGUCAGGUGUGAAAACUAUCGGCUUAACUGAUAGACUGCAUUUGAAACUGUGGAGCUUGAGUGAAGUAGAGGCAGACGGAAUUCCCGGUGUAGCGGUGAAAUGCGUAGAGAUCGGGAGGAACACCAGUGGCGAAGGCGGUCUGCUGGGCUUUAACUGACGCUGAGGCACGAAAGCAUGGGUAGCAAACAGG